AAUUCCUCCGCUACUUGAUAUCUCAAGUGAAUUUUAACUUAGUUGUUCCUCAAUGCGAAUUGGGAAUAUCGAACUCGAACAUGCUUAAUCGCAUGAGUGUUGAAUUCCACAUCAGGCUCUUCAGUGGCAGAAUUCUCGUCUCCUUCUUGUUGACCCACAUGCUGACGACGCACUCGAUUCGAACUGUGUGCUCCGUUUGGAUUCUGUACUCAUCGAUCCAUGCUGAAGUAUUGGAGUGGGGCUCUGUCUAUAGAAUUGAGGUAAUCUGUUUAUAAAAAUUCAGUUGUCUUUGAAGGGAUGAUAUUGGCGAUAUCUUGGGUCCCUGGAGGGGCUUCGAAGGUGUCCCGAGGCGGCCGAACCGCCCACCAAGAAGGAAGUUGAAGAGAUUUUGAGGAGUAGAGUUCUCGAAGGAAGUGGAGAUAGUGAUGGCAAGGAGGAUGUAAAAACAUGGAUGCGGUUCCUUUAGAAAAGGCUGAUGAAGUUCUUACUGCAUUAUCUGCCGCUGCUGCACGUGGGAGAAGUUCCAAGACAACAAAAGUUCGAUCUGGUUUUGAGGAUAUAACUGAUGGUUUGACGGAGCUUGAAUUGAAUAAUUACGAUAGAGAUGAAGGCAUCGAUUAAGUACAAGGAGGGUAGUCAUAUGGAUUCAGUGCUUGGCCUUGCUUGGAACAAGGAGUUGAGUUUGUUGGAAACUGUUACUUUUCUCUUGGUCCUCGUAAUUUUGUAGUCUCUCUAUCCAAUUCCCAAUGCUUAAUGACAUCCCUGACUGCUAUGCAAAUGUUCAAACAGGAAUAUACACUAGUGCAAGCGCUGACUGGUAAGUCAAAAUUUGGGAUGUUGCAGCUGGAAAAUGCCAUAUUACCAUGGAACACCACACAGACAAGGCUAGAAUCAUCUCAUUUAAUGUUUAGUUUUAAUUCUUUUGGAUGAUAAACAUACAGCUUCUGUUCAUCUUAAGAUCCAGUCUGUUCCGACAGUUAAAUUUCUGGUUCAUCAGAAAGGACCUUUUGCAUGGUAUUGAUGAGGGUAAUUACAUGUUGGUAUUUCAUAGAAAGAACCACGGGUUGGGCAUGUUAAGUGUUGAGGAUUUGAUAUGUAGUUAUAAAUUAAGAAGAUGGGAAGUUUCCUUCUUUUGUCUUACAAGUUAUAU